AGUUUUCUCCUUGCUCAUCAAAAGUUGGAAAUAGUCAAUAUGGGGUGGGAGGGGCUACAACUGAGACAUUCAGUAAUGACUGAGCUAUGAAUUAGUCCAAACAUUUUAGAAAGCUUUUAAAAAUUAUUCUGAGGAAGUAACUAAAACGUUCAUACCUUUUGCCCCAGAGGUUCUACUGCUCAAUAUGUACCCAAAAGAGGUUUUUGAAAAAACAGGAAGAAUGGUUCCACAUAAAUCCAAAUGUUCAUACAAGCACUUUCUGUGAUAGCAAAUAAUUGGAAACAAAAUAGGUAGCCAUUGGUUGGGGAAUAACUGAAUAAGUCAUGAACAUAAUGUAAAUAUUAUUGCAGCAUUAGAAAAGAUGAAGAUGUAGAAUUUUAUGAAAUAAGCAGAACCAAGAAAACAAUGUAUAUAAUGAUUAGAGUAAUGUAAACAGGAAAAGAUACAAAAAAAAUUACAUCAAUAAAUUACAUCAAAUACUAUAAUUUCUAAGUUUGGUCCCAGAGAAGACUUAGGAAAUCUACUCUGUCUUCUGUGCAGAGGCAAGGGACAAUGAGGGUCACAUUGAAUAAGCCAUCUGCCUAGUCAAAAUUUUGUUGGUUAUGUCGAACUGUUUCUUCUCUCAUUUUGUUUAUUUUUUGUUACAAUGGAUGCCAUGUUACUUAGAGGAGAAAGGGAUAAUAAAUGCAGAAAUAAAUGUGAUGUAACAAAAAACAUCAUAAAUUAAUGCUCAUUGUUUGAUUAGCAAAGAAAUGGUCCUCUAACCUCUGUUCAAGAAAUGUUAGUGAUCACAUACUUAACUUUAUUCUUUAAAAAAGUUUUUUUCAUUUAAUUAAUUAAUUUAGAAUAUUUUUCCAUGGUCACAUGAUUCAUGUUCUUUCCUUCCCCUUCUCUCUAUCCCCUCCCAGAGCUGAUAAGUAAUUCUACUGGUUUUUACAUGUAUCAUUUUAACUUUAUUCUAAAAUAUGAAUCUCAAAUCCAGAGGUUCUACUGCUCAAUAUGUACCCAAAAGAGGUUUUUGAAAAAACAGGAAGAAUGGUUCCACAUAUGGUUCCUGAGGGUUGCCUGGGUCUGUUUUACCUCCCUCCUCCAGCUACAAGAUUUUCAGCCCUCCUUUACCUACAAUAUGUACAUUAGCUACUACAUCCAAGCAGAUGGUGGCAGAGAAUAUCAAAUUUCCCUGAAAAAGAGAAAAAAGCUGAUUAUCAGCCUAUGGUAGCAGAGAGUUUAGUCACCAAAAUACCUGAGGGAAGAUCCAGAAGAUACUAGAGGCAAGAGAGAGAAGAGAACAGGAACUUGAUGCCUAGCAGAGAACUGAACAAUGAUAUCACCAGAGAAUACUGAUAGCUCUACAGAAGCAGAGAUAUGAUUUCCCUAGGUCAUUUAUGUGCCAUAGCUACCUGUCUUCCUCACAUGUGUGCCUUUUUAUGUAUAUUCCCCCAGGAAACAC
rnacentral:lncRNA from 1 species